rnacentral:rRNA from 1 species
UACGGAGGAUGCAAGCGUUAUCCGGAAUGAUUGGGCGUAAAGCGUCCGCAGGUGGCUGUGUAAGUCUGCUGUUAAAGAGUCUAGCUCAACUAGAUACUAGCAGUGGAAACUACACGGCUAGAGUACGUUCGGGGCAGAGGGAAUUCCUGGUGUAGCGGUGAAAUGCGUAGAGAUCAGGAAGAACACCGGUGGCGAAGGCGCUCUGCUAGGCCGUAACUGACACUGAGGGACGAAAGCUAGGGGAGCGAAUGGG